GAUAGCACACGCGCUGUAGCGUCGAGUGAAAAACUUGGCAUCCGCUUCGCUGACUUGGGAAAGCCUCAAACACAAAACAAAACAGGUCACAGUCACACCAUGCGUCGCUGAAAAAGUGACAAACACGGGCGCUUCCCAGGUCAGGACGACACACAACUCUUCACCUGACAGGUCGGACCUUCCGUUCCUUUCUCUAACAUUGUAUUAUUCUUUUUUCCGCUAUUUCCCUUCAUUCAUAUUCAUAUAACCUAUCCGCAAUUUCCAUCCAAGCACUGAAUUCCAUUCUUAUCCAAACGCCUCCUUAUAUAGAGAAACGACACAACGGUACAAAAUGUCCAGCCAUCAUAGCUGGUGGAUACCAACAAAGCACUAUUCUCUCCCUCUCUCUCUAUAUUUAUACGCUAUAGGUUUCGGCUUUGUUUAUUGAUUUGAGGUAUUGAAAUGGCUGGGAGGGAGGAGAAGGAGAAGGCGGUGUUCGAUGUGGAUGCAGCCAGUGCUUUGGUGAAUGAGCUGAGAUGCACUUUCGCUUCUGGUAAGACUCGGAGCUAUGAAUGGAGAGUUACUCAGUUGAAAAAUAUGUUAAAGAUGUGUGAUGAGAACGAGAAAGAGAUCGCCGAGGCUCUUCGCCAGGAUCUUUCCAAGCCUGAACUCGAAUCCGUUGUUUAUGAGAUAGGCAUGCUGAAGAACUCGUGCAGAGUGGCGCUUAAAGAAGUGAAACAUUGGAUUGUGCCAGAAAAGGCAAAGACCUCAUUAACCACUUUUCCAUCAUCGGCUGAAAUUUUGUCAGAACCUCUGGGUGUUGUUUUAAUAAUUUCAGCAUGGAAUUAUCCUUUUUGUAUGUUGAUAUCCUGGUGACUAUUUCUAUGUGUUAUUUUCUCCAUCCUUAUAUUUAUCUGUCAAAUUUUACAAUAUUGAUUGCAAUUUCAUUCUCUUAUGACUUAUUACUUUUGCAGUGUUGUCUCUUGAUCCACUUGUUGGAGCUAUUGCAGCUGGUAAUGCUGUGGUAUUAAAACCAUCAGAAAUUGCUCCAGCCUCAUCCUCAUUGCUUUCAAAACUACUUGUGAAAUAUUUGGAUAGCUCUGCCAUAAGGGUUAUUGAGGGGGCUGUUGCUGAAACGUCUGCCUUGCUGGAGCAAAAGUGGGAAAAAAUAUUUUAUACAGGCAAUGGAAGAGUGGCACGUAUUGUGAUGGCUGCUGCUGCAAAGCACCUGACACCGGUUGUUUUGGAACUUGGGGGAAAAUCUCCUGUUGUCAUUGAUGCAGGCAUCAAUUUACAGGUUGCAACUAGGCGGAUAAUUGCAGGAAAGUGGGGGUGUAACAAUGGACAAGCGUGCGUUUCUCCUGAUUACAUUAUAACAACGAAAGAUUAUGCUCCAGAACUGGUGGAUACACUGAAAAACGAACUAGAGAGAUUUUAUGGAAAGACUCCAUUGGAAUCAAAAGACUUGUCCCGAAUUGUGAAUUCUAACCAUUUUACUCGUUUGACUAAGCUACUGGAUGAGGAUAAGGUUUCUGGUAAUAUUGUCCAUGGAGGUGAAAGAGACAAAGAAAGCCUGAAAAUUGCUCCCACCAUCUUGCUGGAUGUCCCACAAGACUCUCUAAUAAUGAAUGAGGAGAUAUUUGGUCCGUUGCUUCCUAUUAUAUUGGUGAACAAAAUCGAAGAGAGUUUUGAUUUGAUAAACUCAGGAACAAAGCCACUUGCAGCUUAUUUAUUCUCCAAUAAAAAGAAACUCAAGGAACAGUUCGUGAUGUCUGUCUCUGCAGGGGGUCUAGUCAUCAAUGACACUACUGUGCAUCUUGCUGUUGAUACUUUACCAUUUGGAGGUGUUGGGGAGAGUGGAAUGGGUUCAUACCAUGGAAAGUUUUCUUUUGAUGCUUUUAGCCAUAAGAAGGCAGUACUAUAUCGAAGUUUCAUUGGUGAUGCAGCCAUAAGGUAUCCACCAUAUACCACAGAGAAGGUAAGAUUGAUGAAGGCCUUAAUCGGUGGUGGCAUAUGGAACAUUAUCCAAGCUUUGCUUGGCUGGGGCAAGGCUUGAGAAGAAUAUGUGGUUGUUCGUGUAAGUUUAAGAUACUCGACCCUUGUAAAUUGUUGUUCUUGUACAAUUUAAAUUGGAUUAAGAUUGAUGGGUUGCAACAAUGGAAAAGGAAUGUUGCAUAAGUAUUUAAUAUCUUCUGAUGAGUGUGUUGAUUUGCUCAGAAAUUUGAGAUUAUUUAGACCUGUUGUGGGGUCUAGAUUCAGUCUCUAUUGACCAUCUUUUACAUGUGCUUAUCUACACGAGUGCACUUGAUUUCAUUUCACAAAUAUUUUUAGA
rnacentral:misc_RNA from 1 species